GACGAACGCUGGCGGCGUGCCUAAUACAUGCAAGUCGAGCGAAGUUUUUCUGGUGCUUGCACUAGAAAAACUUAGCGGCGAACGGGUGAGUAACACGUAAAGAACCUGCCUCAUAGACUGGGACAACUAUUGGAAACGAUAGCUAAUACCGGAUAACAGUAUUUCUCGCAUGAGAGAUAUUUAAAAGUUGGUUAUGCUAACACUAUGAGAUGGCUUUGCGGUGCAUUAGCUAGUUGGUGGGGUAAAGGCCCACCAAGGCGACGAUGCGUAGCCGACCUGAGAGGGUGAUCGGCCACACUGGGACUGAGACACGGCCCAGACUCCUACGGGAGGCAGCAGUAGGGAAUCUUCCGCAAUGGGCGAAAGCCUGACGGAGCAACGCCGCGUGAGUGAAGAAGGAUUUCGGUUCGUAAAGCUCUGUUGUUAGGGAAGAAUGGAUAUGUAGUAACUAUACAUAUAAGAGACGGUACCUAACCAGAAAGCCACGGCUAACUACGUGCCAGCAGCCGCGGUAAUACGUAGGUGGCAAGCGUUGUCCGGAAUUAUUGGGCGUAAAGCGCGCGCAGGUGGUUUAAUAAGUCUGAUGUGAAAGCCCACGGCUCAACCGUGGAGGGUCAUUGGAAACUGUUAAACUUGAGUGCAGGAGAGAAAAGUGGAAUUCCUAGUGUAGCGGUGAAAUGCGUAGAGAUUAGGAGGAACACCAGUGGCGAAAGGCGGCUUUUUGGCCUGUAACUGACACUGAGGCGCGAAAGCGUGGGGAGCAAACAGG
rnacentral:rRNA from 1 species